ACACAGAUUUUCAUGAUGGAGCAGCCUAUUUUCAUCUGUUUCACUCCUGUAGGGAGGUUGGUGUGGGAGGAACUGUCUUCUCAAACUGAACAGUAUGUGGAUGAGGAGGUUCAGCAGCAGCCCGGUCUGACUUUAAUCUCUUGGUCUGGACCUCAGUGGGUUUCAAGCGCCCCUGUCAAACUGCAGCCAACAUAUUACUUUACCCAUGCUGGGAACACGCUGGUGAGAGAGCUGUCAGUAUUAAAUACACAG